UACGAAGGGGGCUAGCGUUGCUCGGAAUCACUGGGCGUAAAGGGCGCGUAGGCGGCUGUUCAAGUCGGGGGUGAAAGCCUGUGGCUCAACCACAGAAUGGCCUUCGAUACUGGACGGCUCGAGACCGGAAGAGGUCAGUGGAACUGCGAGUGUAGAGGUGAAAUUCGUAGAUAUUCGCAAGAACACCAGUGGCGAAGGCGGCUGACUGGUCCGGUUCUGACGCUGAGGCGCGAAAGCGUGGGGAGCAAACAGGAUUAGAUACCCUGGUAGUCCACGCCGUAAACGAUGGAUGCUAGCCGUUGGCGCGCUUGCGCGUCAGUGGCGCCGUUAACACUUUAAGCAUCCCGCCUGGGGAGUACGGUCGCAAGAUUAAA
rnacentral:rRNA from 1 species